GCCGGGGUGGCGGAGCGGAGAACGCGCGGGCCUUGAGAGCCCGUGGCCCUUUGGGGCCUCGUGGGUUCAAAUCCCACCCCCGGCG
rnacentral:tRNA from 1 species